GCUAAGGUGGGAAAUUGGUUCACGCCACUUUUAGUUGGUUGUCAAGCUGAUCCAGCAAGUGCCUGGUUGUCUUAGCUCGUUUUGUGUUCAACACAAGUGUUGGCUACUCCUCUGCAGGAGAGGUGCAUCGGUUUAGGUUAGUCAGCGGUCUCCUCUCUCUCCCGCUGUGCCCCUAAGAUGGUCCACAACCCUACAUAUCGAAUUCCUUUGCUAUUUGUGUUCUGAGACCUACAUAUUAGAUGAAAUAUGUUAUUCCUUUCUGCCUCCAUGAAAGAGGUCACACAUUUCUGAAUCUUUGUUGUUUCUGUCACAAAUAGGAUGAAUUCAUGAUCGCCAAAGGCUUAGAAAAAAGUAAAAAAAUUAUAGUUGAACGUCUUAUAUUAUGGGACAGAGGGAGUAUUUGAGUCCAUUGAAUGUAUAUGAUCUUUUCAGGUGUUUGUGCUUUGGUACUUUAGAUGUAGUGAAAACCUUGUGUUUUGUGUAUGUGCUGCUGUUUUAAACGAGGUGCUAACUUUGUAUGGUGCAUAGAGUCAUGCCUUUUUCUGAGGCAGUGUUUAUUUAGUUUCUCUGUGCAUGCUAGACGGUCGCCCUGUAUCGGCGUUGUUUGAUGAAUUUUAUGUUGGUUUGCUUGUAUGAAGUGAGAUCUAUCUUUGAGCAAUCUACUAUUUUAGCGAAGUUUGUGCAUAGGUCUCAUUUAGUUGAGAGAAAAUUGUCAAUGUUUCAACUGAACUUGAUUUUUGUAGGUCGUUGUAGAAGUUUUUUGGUCCUUUCUAGACUGAUGUACAAUACGAAGAUCCAUGAAUCUCUUCUUACUUAUUCUAUCAUCGUCUUUUUUCUGUCUUGUGUUGUGCUCAUUAGAGAAACACCUGACCUGCUUCUUUGAAUAUUACAGGAGAUCAUUGCUAAAGGGGGGGAAACUGGAAGUCGUGGUUGUUGUAGGCCAGGGAACUUGCACCUGGUGGGUUCGGAGGCGUGCAAUGACAGGCCCGUACAAAAUGAUGCGGUGGCAGGCUGAGAGGAGCUUCGAGCAGCAGCAGAUUGUUUGAACGGCAAUUUGCUGUUGCUGCAGAUGCUCUACUUUGUUGUCCGGAAGAGGACGGAGGUUGUGUUCUGCGACCUGCUCAUGGGGCCCAACUACAUUUGCUGCUACGAGCAGCACUUGACUGUUCCAGCAGCCUUGGUGACCGCGACGAUUGCAUACAACCAUUCUGUAAGUUCCCUAUCCCUUGGAAAGAUGGUUUCCAACAAAGCUCUGCAUUUUAGAGUAUUAAGUUCCAUGUCUGCAGUGUCUGUGCAGUAGCCUUGUAGGCCAAAAAGCAAAAAGUCCCGUGAGACGAUCCUGAGAGCAUCUGCCAAAAUCUGCUCCUGCAUAGGAGCAGUUCGAAUGUUUGUUUCUCCUUUUCCUAAUGUCCCACCAGCAGUACUACCCAUGACACUUGACAUUUUGGCCUGUGCAAAAAAAAAAAAAAAAUCAAAUUGAAGACCAAAUGUCACCCGAAAUUUGUUUUUUCCACCAACGAAACACUGCUGCUCCGUUUAGCAUGAAAUUUGUCAAGCAUGCUUGCGAAACUAACACGAACAUCUGCAGAAGUUCAGAAUAUGCUCCCGGCUUCCAUAUCAAAUAUAACAUCCAUUUUCUCUUUCCACCCAGUAGAAUCUACCCAUCUUCCAUGUCAAGUACAGUGUCCAGCAGUAGUACUCAUCUUUAGCUUGACCAUAAACUUCCAACAGAACCUACCCUAGCCAGAAGUGAUAAACGAUUGAAUGUUCAGCCAACUGUAAUUUUCAAUUCUUCAUCAGCUAGAUGUGAUUCUGCAGUAGAUGGAAUAUCAUACCAUGAUCGCAUGCCUUCAUCAAAGCUUAACAACUCUGGAACAUCAUGAUUUCCGACGGGAUAUCGCUAAUGGUGGAUAUGUUACAUGGGGUCGACAACAAACCAUUACAAUAUCAGGAUCUGGGUUCGAGAUACCUACAGCUAAAUAAUAGAGUCCAGAGAAGUAAUGGGCAAUAACAUCAAUAUGUCUGCUUGAAUAUUAGAUGUUCGCAGUCUGUCAUCUGAUUGUAACUUGCCAAAGAGCAUAUUUGAUGGAUAAGUCUGUGUACUAGGGUCCUUGUGGGGCUGCAGCACAUGGUCCUUGUGGCAGUUAGGAGGAUAAAGUCCUGGACCAUCAAGGACUGGCUGUUAGGAUAGAGUUCUGUUCUUGACCAUCAAGGACUGUCAGUUAGCAUCUUAGACUAGCAUCUUAGACUGGCAUCUUAGCAGCAUCUUAGCAUAUGCCUUGGCUGGCUAGCAGCCUAUAAAUAUGUAUCCCCAACCCCUCAGGUUGGCAUGGCAUUGUGUGAGAAAUAAACCAACGAAAAUUGUCCCAACUCUCCUAGUGUCAUCCACAUCUAUCAAUGCUCAGGCUGAAAGGUCUAACAAGUGGUAUCAGAGCCUCGUUAACCUGCACCCUGAGCAUUUCCUGUGAGCAGCCCAAGUCGGUAGCAGCAGCUGCUCCGUCUGCCUCUGGUUACCUUCCUCCCUCCGGACUGUCGAGCAGCAGCUCGUCUUCAUCAGCCUCUUCACGCAACAGCCCCCCUGCAGCGAGCCAUGUCUGCAGGUCGCUCUCAGCACACGGCUACCUCGAGCAUGCGGCGCCGGCAAGAGGCCGAGCGCGCCGUGGCAGAGGAGCGUGAGCGAGCGGCUGUAGCAGCGGCUGCUGCGGCGGCAAGAGUGUCGAGGCUGGCUGCAGCGGAGCUGGCAGCAGCCAGAGCGGAGGUAGAAGCAGCCAGGGCGGAGGUAGAAGCAGCAGCAGCAGCAGAAGCAGCCCGUGAGGCUACGGCGGAUGCCAAGGCACUCCGCGGCAGCCCCGGCAGCUCCAGCAGCUCCGUGCCUGCGGACGACGGUGCCGACGCAGAUCGCGCCAAAGUGGCGCAGGAGCGGACGGCGCAGUGGGCAGCCGAGCACGCCCGCGCUCCAGGUGGAGGCGCGCACCGCGACGGCGGCUGCAACGACCAGGACCGCGGCCUCUACGAGGUCCGGACUGUGGUCAGGGAUGUUGGUUCCAGUGUUGGGUGGCCUACCCUCACUAAAACCAACUACGUCGAGUGGGCCGGGAUCAUGAAGGUCAGGCUCCAGGUGCGGCGCAUGUGGGAGGCAGUCCAGGACAGCAACGUCGACCACCUAGAGGAUCGACGGGCGCUGGACGCCCUCAUCGCCGCAGUCCCGCCCGAGAUGCAGUUCUCGCUUUCCAACAAGCGGACUGCCAAGGAGGCUUGGGACGCCAUCGCCGCAGCACGCAUCGGCAGCGACCGUGCUCGCAAGUCCACCCUGCAGGCACUUCGUAAGGAGUGGGAGAACCUGGGCUUCAAGCCAGGUGAGGACGUUGAUGACUUUGCUCUCCGUCUCAACACUCUGCUGCAGAAGAUGGUGAAGUUUGGCGAUGCCACCUACACCGAGGAGAGAACUGUCGAGAAGCUUUUUCGGUGCAUUCCCGAGAAGUACAAGCAGAUGGCUCGCUCGAUCGAGUCGUUGCUGGACCUCUCCACGAUGAUGAUCGAGGAGGCGAUAGGUCGACUCAAGGUCGUCGACACCGACGAGCCAUAGCCCCCCUCGGGGCCCGUCACCACCGGCGGGAAGCUGCUCCUAACUCGGGAGCAGUGGGAUCCCAGCCUUGGUGACAAGAAGAAGGGGGAGCCUUCCUCCUCGACGGGCGGCCGCAAGCGUGGCAAGCAGCGUAAGGCGCGAAGAGGCCCCCCGGGCAGGGCACAAGGACGUGCCGAAGGUGACGCCCGCGGAGGCGCCAAGGACGGCGCCGCUGGCAAGCCCAGGCCGGCACAAGACAACAGUUGCCACAACUGUGGCCGGUUUGGCCAUUGGGCCAAUGAGUGUCGGCAACCACGACAAGGCCAGGCUCACGUCGCACAGGCGAAGGAGGAGGAGACGGCUCUGUUCAUGGCGCAUGCAAGCAUUGAGCUACCCUCGGCGACUCCAGUCGCAAAGGCUUUCAUCCACCUCGAUGAGCCAAAAGCACACGCUCUUCUCGGCGAUGGCUCCGGGAGGGACAAGGCUACGGGGUGGUGCCUCGACACCGGCGCCACCCACCACAUGACCGGUCAAAGGGAAUUCUUCACCGAACUCGACUCCGAUGCGCGAGGCUCCGUCAAGUUCGGGGAUGCCUCCGCUGUGGAGAUAAAGGGCGUCGGCUCCGUCAUCUUCACCACCAAGAUGGGAGAGCACCGGCUGCUCACCGGUGUCUACUACAUCCCCGCGCUAAGGAAUUCCAUCAUCAGCUUGGGACAGCUGGAUGAGAACGGCUCACGCGUGCUGAUUGAGCAUGGGGUCCUACGCAUCUGGGAUCGCCAGCGUCGCCUUCUCGCCAAGGUGCCCAGAGGUGAAAAUCGACUCUACGUCCUUGAUGUGCAGGUGGCACAACCGGUCUGUCUCGCUGUCCGUCGAGACGACGAGGCGUGGCAGUGGCAUGAGCGCUUUGGGCACCUUCACUUUGAGGCCCUGAAGCGUCUAAGUGCCAAGGAGAUGGUGCGAGGCCUGCCAUGCCUCGACCAUGUGGAGCAGUUCUGCGACAUCUGCGUACUGACAAAGCAGAGACGACUCCCCUUUCCCCAACAGGCGAGUUUUCGGGCUAAGGAGAAGCUAGAGCUCGUGCACGGAGACCUGUGCGGCCCGGUGACGCCAGCCACACCAGGAGGUCGACGCUACUUCCUGCUGCUCGUCGACGAUCUCUCCCGCUACAUGUGGGUGAUGAUCCUCGGCAGUAAGGGAGAAGCGGCGGACGCCAUCAGGCGCGCGCAGGUUGGUGUGGAGGCGGAGAGCGGCCGCAAAUUGCGCGUGUUGCGCACUGACAACGGCGGCGAGUUCACGGCGGCUGAAUUCGCGUCGUACUGCGCCGAUGAGGGCAUCCAGCGCCACUACUCCGUGCCGUACAACCCGCAACAAAACGGCGUCGUCGAGCGGCGCAACCAGACGGUUGUGGGGAUGGCUCGGGCUCUCCUCAAGCAGAGAGGGAUGCCGGCUGUCUUCUGGGGAGAGGCGGUGCUAACGGCCGUCUACAUCCUCAACCGCUCUCCUACUAAGGCACUCGACGGCAGAACUCCGUACGAGGCCUGGCAUGGGCGGAAGCCGGCGGUCUCUCAUUUGCGGGUCUUUGGCUGCCUUGCGUUCGCCAAGGAGCUCGGCCACAUCGGCAAGCUCGACGACAGGAGCACUCCGGGAGUCUUCAUCGGCUACGCGGAGGGCUCAAAGGCCUACCGCAUCCUCGACCCAAAGACACAACGUGUGCGCACAGCGCGAGACGUCGUGUUCAACGAAGGGCGAGGGUGGCAAUGGGACAAGGCGGUGGACGACGGCUCGACGCCGACGUAUGACGACUUCAUUGUCGAGUACGCUCACUUCAAGGAAGCUGGGGGAGCAAGCAGCUCCUCUUCACCGGGCACGUCUACCCCGGCCCCCAAAACUACAUCGACUCCGGCGCCUGCUACAUCGACGACACCACAACCGGCGACGCCGCAUACUCCAGCCCCGGCGGUCGCCACUCCGGGCUCGUCUUCAUCAGCACCAGCUCACGCAGAGCACAACCCGAUGAAGUUCGCUUCCCCGCUCACUCACGACGAGGAGCGGGUCGACGCAUGGUAUGGAGGCGAACCGCUGCGGUACCGUACGAUGGAUAAUGUGCUCGGCGACCAGCCGGUGCCAGGACCGGUGCCACGUGACCUGGAGGCGCAGCUACAGCUCGUGUGUGAAGACGGCGAACCACGGUCCUUUGCAGAGGCCGAGAGAGACGCGGCAUGGCGCGCCGCGAUGAAGUUGGAGAUGGAUGCGGUCGAGCAAAACCGCACCUGGGAGCUUGCUGAUCUCCCUCGAGGUCACCGCGCAAUCACCCUUAAGUGGGUGUUCAAGCUGAAGAGGGAUGGAGCGGGCGCCAUCAUCAAGCACAAGGCUCGUUUGGUGGCCCGAGGCUUCUUGCAGCAGGAAGGAGUCGACUUCGACGACGCUUUCGCUCCCGUGUCACGGAUGGAGUCCGUGCGACUUCUCCUUGCGCUGGCUGCCCAGGAGGGCUGGCGUGUCCACCACAUGGACGUUAAGUCGGCAUUCCUCAACGGCGACUUGAAGGAGGAAGUCUACGUGCAUCAGCCACCGGGGUUUACGAUUCCCGGCCAGGAGGGCAAGGUGCUCCGCCUGCGCAAGGCUCUCUAUGGCCUGCGGCAGGCACCCAGGGCGUGGAACGCCAAGCUGGACUCCACGCUGAAGAAGAUGGGUUUCAAGCAGAGCCCGCAUGAGGCUGCCGUCUACCGACGGGGGAGUGGAGGAAAUGCCCUGCUGGUGGGCGUCUACGUUGACGACCUGGUGAUCACCGGCACCAAAGAUGCAGAGGUGGCGGCGUUCAAGGAAGACAUGAAGGCCACGUUCCAGAUGAGUGACCUGGGGCUCCUCUCCUUCUAUCUAGGGAUUGAGGUGCACCAGGACCACUCCGGGAUCGCGCUUCGACAGUCCGCCUACGCCAAGCGCAUCGUUGAGCUAGCUGGGCUCACCGACUGCCAUCCAGCUCUCACUCCGAUGGAGGAGAGGCUGAAACUAAGUCGCGACAGCGCGACGGAGGAAGUGGAUGCUACGCAGUACCGACGCCUUGUGGGGAGCCUUCGCUACCUCACUCACACACGGCCGGACUUGGCAUUCUCCGUCGGCUAUGUCAGUCGGUUCAUGGAGCGACCAACGUCGGAACACCAGCAGGCAGUGAAGAGGAUCGUCCGCUACAUAGCAGGGACCCUCGACCACGGCCUCCAUUACCCUAGGUGCCCUGGGGCGGCACACUUCGUCGGGUACAGCGACAGCGACCACGCCGGCGACAUCGACACCAGCAAGAGCACGAGCGGGAUCCUCCUCUUCCUCGGCAAGUGUCUCGUGAGCUGGCAAUCAGUCAAGCAGCAGGUGGUGGCCCUGUCCAGCUGUGAGGCUGAGUACAUAGCGGCCUCCACCGCCUGUACUCAGGCGCUCUGGCUUGCUCGACUGCUUGGUGAUCUUCUCGUUCAAGACACCAGAACGGUGCAGCUCCUGGUGGACAGCAAGUCCGCCCUGGCCCUGGCAAAGAACCCCGUGUUCCACGAACGGAGCAAGCACAUCCGACUGAGGUAUCACUUCAUCCGCAGCUGUGUGGAAGAAGGGAGCAUCGAGGCGAGCUACAUCAACACCAAGGAUCAGCUCGCAGACCUGCUCACCAAGCCCCUUGGGAGGGUCAAGUUCCUCGAACUUUGCUUCAGGAUUGGGAUGAUUCAACUCUCCCACAAGACGACGUACAAGACUUAGGGGGAGAAUGAUGGAUAAGUCUGUGUACUAGGGUCCUUGUGGGGCUGCAGCACAUGGUCCUUGUGGCAGUUAGGAAGAUAAAGUCCUGGACCAUCAAGGACUGGCUGUUAGGAUAGAGUUCUGUUCUUGACCAUCAAGGACUGUCAGUUAGCAUCUUAGACUAGCAUCUUAGAGUAGCAUCUUAGACUGGCAUCUUAGCAGCAUCUUAGCAUAUGCCUUGGCUGGCUAGCAGCCUAUAAAUAUGUAUCCCCAACCCCUCAGGUUGGCAUGGCAUUGUGUGAGAAAUAAACCAACGAAAAUUGUCCCAACUCUCCUAGUGUCAUCCACAUCUAUCAAUGCUCAGGCUGAAAGGUCUAACAAUAUUAACUCCUUUUUCAUGUCAUUAACACGUGCUAGUUGUAGCAAAGUAGCUACCCCGUGUAGUGCUUUCCAUGUUGAUGAAGCUAGCAUGCAUGUAGAUCUGUUUUGUGCAAACUACAUGGAUACGAUGCAUGCCUUAUUCACUGUAAUUGACAUAUGUGCCGUAUUUGGAAACAUGUGAUCACUAGUGUGUAGGAGUAAUCCUAAUGAGUGUCUGUGCACAGUUUGUACAUUCUUUAUUGUCAUGGGAACCUGUAACUUGGCCACUAAUUAAUCUUGCUCUCUCUCUCUCUCUCUCUCUCUCUCUCUGCUCAGGCAGUGGCAUGGACCUACAGCCACAGGAGGGCGAGAAGACCGAUGGAUGGUGUGGUGUGGUGUGGAUCAUCAGUUCCAGCCCGGGCUUGAUUGAUGGGUUCUAGUGUUGCCGCCUUAGCUCGUUUUGCAUUCACAAGUGCUGCUGGCUCUUAGCUUGUGUGACUGAAGAAGGACGGACCUCGUCAUGGUGAAGCCCGAAGCCAUCGCGAGGGAUGAAGCCAUUCUCGUCGAGAUUAGUUAGUUUGUCUUAUUUUUUUCAGAGUUGGGAAUAACAAACGGAUGAUCGCUUGCUUGCUGUGUUGAUUUUUUUAGUGGAACAUGUUGCUCACAAUACUGUUUGGUAGGAUGCAUUGUAGCAGCUGCUCUUAGGGCAUCAGCAGUGUGUAGAGGCAGCCCAGCCUCUAAGCUGGGUCCCACAUAUGAGCCUCUAAUCUUAGCGUCU
rnacentral:lncRNA from 1 species